rnacentral:rRNA from 1 species
UUCCGUAGGGGGUACCUGCGGAGGGAUCAUUACCGAGUUUACAACUCCCAAACCCCUGUGAACAUACCACUUGUUGCCUCGGCGGAUCAGCCCGCUCCCGGUAAAACGGGACGGCCCGCCAGAGGACCCCUAAACUCUGUUUCUAUAUGUAACUUCUGAGUAAAACCAUAAAUAAAUCAAAACUUUCAACAACGGAUCUCUUGGUUCUGGCAUCGAUGAAGAACGCAGCAAAAUGCGAUAAGUAAUGUGAAUUGCAGAAUUCAGUGAAUCAUCGAAUCUUUGAACGCACAUUGCGCCCGCCAGUAUUCUGGCGGGCAUGCCUGUUCGAGCGUCAUUUCAACCCUCAAGCACAGCUUGGUGUUGGGACUCGCGUUAAUUCGCGUUCCUCAAAUUGAUUGGCGGUCACGUCGAGCUUCCAUAGCGUAGUAGUAAAACCCUCGUUACUGGUAAUCGUCGCGGCCACGCCGUUAAACCCCAACUUCUGAAUGUGACC